rnacentral:rRNA from 1 species
GAUGAACGCUGGCGGCGUGCCUAAUACAUGCAAGUCGAGCGAACAGAUGAGGAGCUUGCUCCUCUGACGUUAGCGGCGGACGGGUGAGUAACACGUGGAUAACCUACCUAUAAGACUGGGAUAACUUCGGGAAACCGGAGCUAAUACCGGAUAAUAUAUUGAACCGCAUGGUUCAAUAGUGAAAGACGGUUUUGCUGUCACUUAUAGAUGGAUCCGCGCCGCAUUAGCUAGUUGGUAAGGUAACGGCUUACCAAGGCGACGAUGCGUAGCCGACCUGAGAGGGUGAUCGGCCACACUGGAACUGAGACACGGUCCAGACUCCUACGGGAGGCAGCAGUAGGGAAUCUUCCGCAAUGGGCGAAAGCCUGACGGAGCAACGCCGCGUGAGUAAUGAAGGUCUUCGGAUCGUAAAACUCUGUUAUUAGGGAAGAACAAAUGUGUAAGUAACUAUGCACGUCUUGACGGUACCUAAUCAGAAAGCCACGGCUAACUACGUG